rnacentral:ncRNA from 1 species
CGUAUCGGAAAAGCGCAGGAAACUGCGUGAAACUCGCCUGCAAUUCCCGGCAUCACCGCGCAAGCGGUGUGGCGACUGCUCUUGCUGCUGCGGCAGUGAUUUU